GCCGCUAUGGUGGAAUAGGCAGACACAGCAGACUUAAAAUCUGCCAGAGGCGACUCUGUACCGGUUCAAGUCCGGUUAGCGGCA
rfam:Firmicutes bacterium CAG:137 genomic scaffold, scf418